UACGUAGGGUGCAAGCGUUAAUCGGAAUUACUGGGCGUAAAGCGUGCGCAGGCGGCUUUGCAAGACAGAUGUGAAAUCCCCGGGCUCAACCUGGGAACUGCAUUUGUGACUGCAAGGCUGGAGUACGGCAGAGGGGGAUGGAAUUCCGCGUGUAGCAGUGAAAUGCGUAGAUAUGCGGAGGAACACCGAUGGCGAAGGCAAUCCCUUGGGCCUGUACUGACGCUCAUGCACGAAAGCGUGGGGAGCAAACAGG
rnacentral:rRNA from 1 species